GAUGAGCCUCUAGACAUAGUUCCUUCAGGAAACAGAAUGUAACCUAUCACAAGAAAUAUAUAUAUAUCCUAAGGCUGGGAGAGCAUUGGUCAGGGGGGGACCUUUUACCCUCAAGUGGUCAGAGGCCUCUGGGAAGUCCCGCUGACGUCAUUCCCAGCAGAGCCCACGGGACACAGAACUGCCGAGGGCGUCACCUGUGUCUGCUGCCCGUGUCCGAGCCCGCGAUGGCUGGCCCACUGCAUGGCACGGCUCCGUCGUGCUCGCCACCACCCAGACCACAAGGGUGCUCCUCUUAUUCCCAGUGUGACUUGAGCCUGAGAGUCUGAAGUGUUGAAGGCCCUACUUCUCCGGUUUGUUCCUCGGAGGGAGCAUCGUCUCCGGACAGGGCAGCCGCGAGCCGGCUUUGAGAGAAGGGGCCUGCUGACCCCCGUUAGAGAAUAUUCCAACCUGAAGCUCCAACUGACCUUCCAGGGUCGGUGAGGGGAGUUGUGUACCCAAGAGGAUAAAUUACUGACCCUGACCCGGGCGAGUGAAGAGCUCGGAGCUUCUGGGGGCUCACACGCUCACAGGGCGGGUGUGAGUCAAAGUGACAAGUGGGCGGGCAUGUUCACAGUUCUGGGACCUGGAAUUCAGCGUUGGUCUGGACUGGGGUUCUUUGUGGUCCUGGGGAGUUUGGAGGAUUGGGGCACACGCAUGCGUGGUCCUUCCAGUUCCCCCGGAGGCACCUGGUUUGUUAUCUGCAGCAAAAUCGAUUUUAUCAUUUUCAGAAAACAAUGAUUGGAGAGUAGAAAGCAAUAAUUUCACACUUGUAAAAUCUUAUAGGGUCGACUUGGAGUAAAUUAAAAAUUUAAGUGAAAGAUUAAA